GACAGAGGCCCCGAGCGUUAGGCGGAAUCACUGGGCUUAAAGGGCGCGUAGGCGGGCUGUCAAGUCUGGGGUGAAAUGCCGCGGCUCAACCGUGGAACUGCCUCAGAUACUGACGGCCUCGAGGGAGGUAGGGGCGAGCGGAACUGUGAGUGGAGCGGUGAAAUGCGUUGAUAUUCACAGGAACUCCGGUGGCGAAGGCGGCUCGCUGGACCUCUUCUGACGCUGAGGCGCGAAAGCCAGGGGAGCAAACGGG
rnacentral:rRNA from 1 species